UACGUACUGUGCGAACGUUAUUCGGAAUCACUGGGCUUAAAGGGUGCGUAGGCGGCCGAUUAAGUAGGGUGUGAAAUGCCUCGGCUCAACCGAGGAAUUGCGCUCUAAACUGGUCGGCUUGAGUGAGAUAGGGGUGUGCGGAACUUCCAGUGGAGCGGUGAAAUGUGUUGAUAUUGGAAGGAACGCCGGUAGCGAAAGCGGCACACUGGGUCUCAACUGACGCUGAGGCACGAAAGCCAGGGUAGCGAACGGG
rnacentral:rRNA from 1 species